rnacentral:lncRNA from 1 species
AGAUUUACUGUUGUCUGCUACACGCCAAGCAUGGCUCUAUUCACCACGGAUGCAAUAAUGAAUUAGAAACACCUCUGUGCCAAAAAGCUCAUAUUCUACAGGGAGGAGGGGAAUCAUAAACAGAUAAUUAGAAACAACCUGCUGGUGCAGUCAUAGAAGUAUGCCUGUGGAAAUACGCAACUACCAAGCAAGAGAACUUCACCUGACUUGGGGAUUUGAGGAAGACUUCCUGUUGGACAUAAUGAUGGAGAUGAUAUUAGCAAUGAAAGCAACUGGUCAUGCCGAUGAAAUGUGUACAAGUGAAACCUGAACCACAUUGGAUACGUAGCUGCUCAUGGAGACAUCCCAUAAAAAGUCUAAUUGGUGGAAUCCCCAAAUUGACAAGAG